rnacentral:lncRNA from 1 species
CUUUUGGGUCACUUUUGCCGGUCUCAAGCCCGCAUAAAGGAGGAGGGUUGGAAUUGUGACAUUAAAAAAAACAAGAAUCGACAGAAGAAAUUUAAUUUGUAGUUCUAAACAUAUUUAGGGUGUUUUUUACUCACAUUUUCUCUCUCCUAGUGUCCAUCACAAUUACAUUCGCAUGGCCAAUUAUGCAGAUUAGGUGAUGACGUCAUUUAGCGACUUUUAGGACAGCUAUUAGCUACUUUCUUGGCAACACUGUUAUGAGGGGUUCUAUGAGAAGCUUCAUUGGAUAGAUAUUGAAACGUGAUGGUUUAGCAUGUUUUUGAUAUUGUUCCAUUCAAAUUAGUUUCUUCAAAUUACAGGAGACGGGGGAGGUUGAUUAUACAUUGUUUUCUUGGUUUUAUAACUAAUAUUUUUGUGGGGAGGGUUUGGUCGGCAGGGUUGUGUUUCGGAGGACGCACGGCUCUAGACCUUCGCCUUUCCAGAGUCCGUACGGGAUUUGCAGCGAUGGGACAAGACCAACUACCAAUUUGAUACCACAAAAUUGUGGAGAAAAAGGGGUUAACAUUUUUUUUAAAUAAAUGUUAAAAGAUAUCUUCUCACAGAUAUGAAAGGGCUAUAUGUUUCGAAAACCUUUUCGCAAGCAGUGAUUAUUUACGUUUCUAAACUUUAAAACACAGAGUCGGAAUUGUAGUUCACAUGGAGCCAGCAGUGGGCGAAGCUUACUGCUGGAAACCCUAUGAAGAGAAGGGUUAUCGAGAGCUAAUGUAGGGGAUCAUUGAGGAUUCAGUGGACGCACAGCCAUCAACUAUCACUUUUAUUAUUCAAAUUAGUUUCCUCAAAUUACAGGAGACGGAGGAGGUUAAUUAUACAUUGUUUCUUGGUUUUAUAACUUUAUGUUUGUGUCCAGAUACGGCAAUUUAUUUCGCCGCCAACGCUACCUCAAAUUGCUUUUAUUUUUUGUUGAACCCCUUUCAUUCUCUGGGGUACACGGAAAAAGUGCGAAUUAAAACCGAGGUCGACUGCCUGAGAUCAGUUUGAUGAAGAAAGAUGAAAAGGUGAUGGCGUUCAAUACCAAUUUCUAUCAAAAGUAUAGCUGGUUAACAGGGAGCCUUUCAUCAAUCCGCCUGUAUUGCUGGCCUUGCCUGCUUUUUGGAAAGUCUGAGCCUUGGGCGAAAGAGGGGUACAGUGCCCAGAAGAACAUUGAUCGUUCAGCUAAACGACAAAACAAAAGCAGGGAGCGUAACGUUAUAAGAUUCAAACUUCUGGGAAAAACCCGCAUCUAUCAUGACGACGGUCUGCGUAUUCAAAAUGCGCAACACAAUGAGAAAGUAAGAAGAAACAGGGAUAUUCUCAAGCGGUUUAUCAACAGCACUGCGUUUUUGGGUAUGCAAAAAGUGGAGGGCACAACGAGAGGGAAUGUUCCGCUGUCUAACAAGUGCAACCACAAGGAGCUUGUAGCGGUAAUUGCACGUUUCGAUGCUUUACUUGCUGAACAUAUGGAACUUUCAGUCUUUUCUGGGAUCAUUCAGAAUGGUUUGAUAGCUUCCAUCGCAUCAUCCAUUAAAAGUUACAUUAAAGAGAGAGGUUGACGCAGCGCGCUCAAGUAGGCUUUCCAUUUUCCUCCGGUAUUUAUUUAGCAAAGACGAUAGAUAAAACAAUAAUCACUCGGGGCAGACACAAGCAAAAACGAAUUAACUAAAUGUUGCAGCAGCCUAGGCCACACCUAAACAUUCGUGAUUUGACUUGCUGUAUGGGAUGAAAACGAGACCAUUUUUGUCAGUCUACAGUCUGACCAACUGUAAACUACUAAUAAGAGCAGCGGCAUACAGCCUACUAUGCGCUGUCCAUUUGGUCAAGGUAAUUCAUUGGUAGCGUUAUGUAUUUAUAGUCCAUUUGUGUGUCAGGAGAAAAUGUGAAUGUGAUCAAAUUUGGUUUAUAUUCAGAAUUGGGCUGGCUAGACUGCCUAUACGUUUUCAAUCCAAAAUUAUUAACUGGAAUGAAUCAAUCAUCAUAAUAGUGAUGACAGAUGUAAGUACAUUUUUAUAAGGCCUGCAGUUGCAUAGGCCUGCAUGAUGCAUAAAGCAAGGUGAGUUCUAUUUUCUCUAUCAUUUGUUGUCUCUGUGUCUGGGUAGAGGAAAUCCCCCACCUAAUCAAGUCUAAAUAAAUAUAAUUACUAUGAAGAAGUAUAAGAUUGCUGACCCCCCCCCCCCCAGGAGAGUUUUUCCCUCAUAAUUUUUAAACUAUGUGACCUGAUUAGGGACCAUAUGGGGGUCAGAGUUUUCCUGGUUAGGUUAACAGAUAAGGAGAAACUCCAGGCCCCAGGGGGUAAAAAUUUCCCCCCAACUGGUUUCCACCAGCCUGCUAGCCGUUGUCAGUUAUCGUCAGGUAUGUGGAUGAUCAGGGCUUUAUUCAGGAACGUUUCUUGGGCGAGAUGCGCAGUCUUUGUUUAACUUCAUGGACAAACUUGUUCAAACUUACAUCGGCGCAGCUGUAAUGGAAUGUAUCUGCUAUUUGUAUUUCCAUCUAAGUCCCCUCCUGUUCCCUGAUUUAAGAAGUGAACACUCCUCUCCACUACGAUUGUCAACUCUCUCCUGACAUGAACUGAAGCCACGUCUCAUGUUCCCGCUCAUCCACUGUUACAUUUAAUGUUUCCUCUCCAAACACUUCAAAUUCUGUCCUGCACUGAAGUCAAGCCUCCACUGGUCUCUGCCCUUGAAUGUCUGCAUUGGACAUCACUUGGCCUUCAUGGAGCAGCCAUGUACCACCACCCUCUCAAUAUAUCAGUAGUCAAAUGCAGGCUAUACCACGCCAGAGUUCUAUCCAAAUAUAAAGAUGGCAAGCUUAGUUCGGCAACUUUUGAUCUCCUUACAUGAGAUUUUAACUAGUCAGACAUUAUUAUGAGGUACAUAUAAUGUAACCUACCUUUGUGAUGUCAUAUGGGAGAAAAAUACAGUUUAACUUUCUUCAGCUGUUUAAUUUUCCCAUUGAGACCAAGGUGUCUUCUGCAAGGGAGCCCUGCAUCUUAUAAUUAAACAACAAAUUACACAUAGAAAAUACACCAGAAAAUAAAAAUACAGAGAUUACAAAAAAGAAAAGAAAACACACAUGAAAAACAAUCACAUUCCUCAGCAAAAAGGUCCUCAAUCAGCACUCUGAACUGCCCGAAAGGCACCCAUGCAUCCAUUUGUAGGGAACUCUGAAGAAACUAAAAGCUGUUUUUCCUAAUUCUGUAGCAACAGGGAAUUUCCAGUUAUCUAUCCCUGUGAUGGGUAUGGUAACUCGUACAUAUAUGGGUAAGUAAAGAUGUCAGGUAAUGUGGGAGUUUUUGCAAAAGGGCUUUAAAAAUGAAUAAAAUGCAGUGUUUCGACAUACAUGAGGUCAAAGAGGACCAUCCUACUUUCUGAUAGAGCAAGCAGUGAUGAGUGCAAAACCUCUCACCCCUGAUAGAACAAAGCGCACUAUGGUGAACUGCAUCUAACGGCUUUAAUGAAGUGACAGCUGCAUUCAUGUAGAUCAGUGGUUCCCAAACGUUUUAUAGUCCCGUAGCCAUUCAAACAUUCAACCUCCAGCUGCGUACCCCCUCUAGCACUCUCAAAUGUUUUUUGCCAUCAUUGUAAGCCUGCCACACACACACUAUACAAUACAUUUAUUAAACAUAAGAAUUAGUUUGAGUUUUUGUCACAACCUGGCUCGUGGGAAGUGACUAAGAGCUCUUAUAGGACCAGGGCACAAAUAAUACUAUAAUAAUAAUAAAUAAUUUUGCUUUUUAUUUAGCCAUCUUACAUAUAAAACCUUAUUUGUUCAUCAAAAAUUGUGAAUAACUCACCACAGGUUAAUGAGAAGGGUGUGUUUGAAAGGAUGCACAUAACUCUGUAAUGUUGGGUUUUAUUGGAGAGAGUCGCAGUCAUAUAAUUUUCCACACACAGUCUGUGCCUGUAUUUAGUUUUCAUGCUAGUGAGGGCCGAGAAUCCACUUUCACAUAGGUACGUGGUUGCAAAGGGCAUCAGUGUCUUAACAGCACGAUUUGCCGAGGCAGGCAACUCUGAGCACAGCCCUAUCCAGAAAUCUGGCGGAGGCUUCUGAUUAAAUUACAUUUUCAGAGAACCGCUUGCUGCAAUUUCGAUGAGACUCUCUUGUUCAGAUAUGGGUAAGUGGACUGGAGGCAGGACAUUGAAAGGGAUAACGAAUCCAGUUGUUUGUGUCGUCUGUUUCGGGAAGGUACUUGCGUAAUUGUGCACCCAGCUCACUCAGGUGCUUCGCUAUAUCCCAUUUGACAUUGUCCGUAAGCUUGAGUUCAUUUGCACACAAAAAAAUCAUACAGUGAUGGAAAGACCUGUGUGUUGUCCUUGUUAAUGCAGACAGAGAAGAGCUCCAACUUCUUAAUUGUGGCCUCAACUUUGUCCUGUACAUUGAAUAUAGUUGCUGAGAGUCGCUGUAAUCCUAGAUUCAGAUCAUUCAGGUGAGAAAAAACAUCACCCAGAUAGACCAGUCGUGUGAGAAACUCGUCAUCAUGCAAGCGGUCAGACAAGUGAAAAUUAUGGUCAGUAAAGAAAACUUUAAGCUUGUCUCUCAAUGCAAAAAAACGUGUCAAUACUUUGCUCCUUGAUAAACAGCGCACUUCUGUAUGUUGUAAAAGCGUUACAUGGUCGCUGCCCAUAUUAUUGCAUAGUGCAGGAAAUACACGAGAGUUCAGGGGCCUUGCUUUAAAAAAGUUAACUAUUUUCACUGUAGUGUCCAAAACGUCUUUCAAGCUGUCAGGCAUUCCUUUGGCAGCAAGAGCCUCUCGGUGGAUGCUGCAGUGUACCCAAGUGGCGUCGGGAGCAACUGCUUGCAUGCGCGUUCCCACUCCACUAUGUCUCCCUGUCAUGGCUUUUGUGCCAUCAGUACAUAUACAAACACAUCUUGACCACCAAAGUCCAUUUGAUGUCACAAAGCUGUCCAGUACUUUAAAAAUAUCCUCUCCUGGUUUCCAGAAGAUGAUGUCCUCCUUAAAAGUCCCCCCAUAAAUGUAACGGACAUAUACCAGCUGUAACGCAUAGAGUUCACUGGCUUGUAUGCGAAGCAGUAAUUGUUUCAAAACAUCUCCUGCCAUGUCACUGAUGCUUCGUGUUGUUUGACGAAGGCAUUUUGACCUUUUCCCCCAGCAUUGUCCAACCCAUAUCCGCGGCAGCAAGAAGAAUUAAGUCCUCCACAAUAGUAUGGGGCUUGCCUGUCCUAGCCACUCGGUAGCUCACCAUAUAAGACACUUCUAGCCCCUUCUUAUUAAUGGUAUCUGUUGCUUUUAUACAUGUCUUACUAUUUGAAAGUCGUCUUAGAAAAUUGGACUGUUUCGUUUCUAAAUGUCUGCGCAAGAGUGAAGGUUUCCCGCGAUAGAGUAACGGUUAAUGUGUUUGGAUGUUAAUUAUUUGACUAGACUAUCUGUAUUUCUCACAUCCUGACCCUAGUAAGAUGUCAUUUUCUAUAGUAGGGCAGGGGGGUGUUUUUGGUCUAUCUAUGUUUUCUAUGUUUAGGUUCUAGUUUGUCUAUUUCUAUGUUGGGAUUGUUUGGGGUUGAUCUCUAAUUGGAGGCAGCUGAUCCUCAUUGCCUCUGAUUAGAAAUCAUAUUUAAGUAGGGGUUUUUCUCAUUGUGGUUUGUGGGUUAUUGUCUUUUGAGUAGUGUGUUGUCCUCUCUGCGUCACGGUUUGUUGUUUUCCUAUUUUCAAGUUAUUAGUGUAUUGGAUUCAGUGUCACUUUGAAUAAAUAUGUGGAACUAUGAAAACGCUGCAUCUUGGUCCGCUCCUUCGAACAGCCGUGACAGUAUUUGACAUUGUUGUUAUUUCGCUGAACACUAGAUGGUUUCAUUUUAUUUUUUGGCAGUGAAACGAGGCUACUCAGACGAGAAAAAACAACAUCAUUCAGUCGACGUUCCUUCAUGUCCUAGAAUAUGGCGACAUCAUCUACAUCGGAUAUUCCCCGCCGGGGUUCGCCAAAUAAAAAUGUGAUUCACAUUUUAAAGCAGUCCAUUUAGAUUUUCCAACGGGGCAAUACAUUUCAGUGAACUGCAUUCUACUAUUGAGAGGCUUAACCUAGUGCCUUCAGAAAGUAUUUACUUGACUUUUUCCACAUUUUGUUGUGUUACAGCCUGAAUUUAAAAUUGAUUAAAUUGAGAUUGUGUCACUGAUCUACACAUGUCAAAGUGGAAUUUUGUUUGUAAUAAAAAAUGAGAAGUUGAAAUGUCUUGAGUCAAUAAG